rnacentral:rRNA from 1 species
ACUCCUACGGGAGGCAGCAGUGGGGAAUAUUGCACAAUGGGCGCAAGCCUGAUGCAGCCAUGCCGCGUGUGUGAAGAAGGCCUUCGGGUUGUAAAGCACUUUCAGUCGUGAGGAAGGUAGUGUAGUUAAUAGCUGCAUUAUUUGUACGUUAGCGACAGAAGAAGCACCGGCUAACUCCGUGCCAGCAGCCGCGGUAAUACGGAGGGUGCGAGCGUUAAUCGGAAUUACUGGGCGUAAAGCGCAUGCAGGUGGUUUGUUAAGUCAGAUGUGAAAGCCCGGGGCUCAACCUCGGAAUUGCAUUUGAAACUGGCAGACUAGAGUACUGUAGAGGGGGGUAGAAUUUCAGGUGUAGCGGUGAAAUGCGUAGAGAUCUGAAGGAAUACCGGUGGCGAAGGCGGCCCCCUGGACAGAUACUGACACUCAGAUGCGAAAGCGUGGGGAGCAAACAGGAUUAGAUACCCUGGUAGGAUAGCG